GGUAAAAUGGCUGAUUUAGGUGAUAAAUUGUAAAUUUAUUUAUGAAUGAAAAAUUCUUUUACCA
rnacentral:tRNA from 1 species